rnacentral:rRNA from 1 species
GACGAACGCUUCCGGCGUGCUUAACACAUGCAAGUCGAACGGAAAGGCCCUGCUUUUGUGGGGUGCUCGAGUGGCGAACGGGUGAGUAACACGUGAGUAACCUGCCCUUGACUUUGGGAUAACUUCAGGAAACUGGGGCUAAUACCGGAUAGGAGCUCCUGCUGCAUGGUGGGGGUUGGAAAGUUUCGGCGGUUGGGGAUGGACUCGCGGCUUAUCAGCUUGUUGGUGGGGUAGUGGCUUACCAAGGCUUUGACGGGUAGCCGGCCUGAGAGGGUGACCGGCCACAUUGGGACUGAGAUACGGCCCAGACUCCUACGGGAGGCAGCAGUGGGGAAUAUUGCACAAUGGGCGGAAGCCUGAUGCAGCAACGCCGCGUGCGGGAUGACGGCCUUCGGGUUGUAAACCGCUUUCGCCUGUGACGAAGCGUGAGUGACGGUAAUGGGUAAAGAAGCACCGGCUAACUACGUGCCAGCAGCCGCGGUGAUACGUAGGGUGCGAGCGUUGUCCGGAUUUAUUGGGCGUAAAGGGCUCGUAGGUGGUUGAUCGCGUCGGAAGUGUAAUCUUGGGGCUUAACCCUGAGCGUGCUUUCGAUACGGGUUGACUUGAGGAAGGUAGGGGAGAAUGGAAUUCCUGGUGGAGCGGUGGAAUGCGCAGAUAUCAGGAGGAACACCAGUGGCGAAGGCGGUUCUCUGGGCCUUUCCUGACGCUGAGGAGCGAAGGCGUGGGGAGCGAACAGGCUUAGAUACCCUGGUAGUCCACGCUGUAAACGGUGGGUACUAGGUGUGGGGUCCAUUCCACGGGUUCCGUGCCGUAGCUAACGCUUUAAGUACCCCGCCUGGGGAGUACGGCCGCAAGGCUAAAACUCAAAGGAAUUGACGGGGCCCCGCACAAGCGGCGGAGCAUGCGGAUUAAUUCGAUGCAACGCGUAGAACCUUACCUGGGUUUGACAUGGAUCGGGAGUGCUCAGAGAUGGGUGUGCCUCUUUUGGGGUCGGUUCACAGGUGGUGCAUGGCUGUCGUCAGCUCGUGUCGUGAGAUGUUGGGUUAAGUCCCGCAACGAGCGCAACCCUUGUUCACUGUUGCCAGCACGUUAUGGUGGGGACUCAGUGGAGACCGCCGGGGUCAACUCGGAGGAAGGUGGGGAUGACGUCAAGUCAUCAUGCCCCUUAUGUCCAGGGCUUCACGCAUGCUACAAUGGCUGGUACAGAGAGUGGCGAGCCUGUGAGGGUGAGCGAAUCUCGGAAAGCCGGUCUCAGUUCGGAUUGGGGUCUGCAACUCGACCUCAUGAAGUCGGAGUCGCUAGUAAUCGCAGAUCAGCAACGCUGCGGUGAAUACGUUCCCGGG